UACGUAGGUGGCAAGCGUUGUCCGGAUUUAUUGGGUUUAAAGGGUGCGUAGGCGGUCUAUUAAGUCAGUGCUGAAAUAUCCCGGCUUAACCGGGAGGGUGGCAUUGAUACUGAUGGACUUGAGUAAAGUUGAGGUUGGCGGAAUUGACGGUGUAGCGGUGAAAUGCUUAGAUAUCGAGAGGAACACCUGCGGCGAAGGCGGGUUGCUGGGCUGAUACUGACGCUGAGGCGCGAAAGCCAGGGGAGCGAACGGG
rnacentral:rRNA from 1 species